rnacentral:rRNA from 1 species
CCUACGGUGUGCUGCAGUGGGGAAUAUUGGACAAUGGGCGAAAGCCUGAUCCAGCCAUGCCGCGUGUGUGAAGAAGGCCUUCGGGUUGUAAAGCACUUUCAGUGGGGAAGAAAGCCUUGGGGCUAAUACCCUCGAGGAAGGACAUCACCCACAGAAGAAGCACCGGCUAACUCCGUGCCAGCAGCCGCCGUAAUACGGAGGGUGCGAGCGUUAAUCGGAAUUACUGGGCGUAAAGCGCGCGUAGGCGGUCUGAUAAGCCGGUUGUGAAAGCCCCGGGCUCAACCUGGGAACGGCAUCCGGAACUGUCAGGCUAGAGUGCAGGAGAGGAAGGUGGAAUUCCCGGUGUAGCGGUGAAAUGCGUAGAGAUCGGGAGGAAUACCAGUGGCGAAGGCGGCCUUCUGGACUGACACUGACGCUGAGGUGCGAAAGCGUGGGUAGCAAACAGGAUUAGAUACCCCUGUAGUC